rnacentral:misc_RNA from 1 species
GGUGAAGAACGUAGCGAAAUGCGAUAAGUAGUGUGAAUUGCAGAAUUCAGUGAAUCAUCGAAUCUUUGAACGCACAUUGCGCCCUUUGGUAUUCCUUAGGGCAUGCCUGUUCGAGCGUCAUCUAAACCUUCAAGCCCUGCUUGGUGUUGGGUGCCUGUCCCGCCUCCGCGCGUGGACUCACCUCAAAUCCAUUGGCGGCCCCCGCGUCGGCCACGAGCGCAGCAGAAACGCGAACUCGUGAGCCCGUCCGGGCGGCUCCCAGAAGCUAACCCCCAAUUUUUGACCUCGGAUCAGGUAGGGAUACCCGCUGAACUUAAGCAUAUCAAUAAGCGGAGGA